UUGGGCAUAGAAAAACGGCUGCCACGGUAUUUCAAUUUGUCGGACUCAAUGGAAGCAACAGAUGCUGGAAGUGCGCUGAAACCAUUCAGUGAACUGCUCUCAAUGCAGGUGUUGCCUUCCCAAUCUUCUGAUUUCCCAGUGCUCUUGGCCACUAUACAAUAAGAGUUAUGCUGCUUCAAGACACCGAGAGCCAGGAGGAGGUGACGUUGGUGCGAGGUGAUUGUUGGGAAGGCCGAUUUGGAAGUAGAAACCAUUUUACAACAUUGGAUCCCUGAGUUAUUGACAGCACAGCAACUUUGGAAGCUAUAUGGAUUUCCUGCAGCCUACCCUGGUGGCUGGUAGUACAGCAGCUGGAGAUUUCACCCUUUAGUGUCAUUCCGGGAGGUAUUUCAAAAGGAACGUUCCUCUGUCUUCUGAUAGCAGCAUUCUCUCCACCCCCACAUUUGACCACUCACCAGGACAGCUCAUUUAUCCUGCUUCCCACCAGACGUCAGCACAUGCCCACACCAUAACGAGGAGCAGGGAGUAGGCGCCGGAUAUUAGGAUCUUCCUACUGAUCCCUAGAGGAGUUACUUUUUCUUGUGAUUAAUAUUAAUUAUCUCUGCAAAGUCUGCAUUUGAAAACAAACUAGGAGAUAUCCAGAAAUGAAUCACAAAAUAAAGGAAAUUGUAAAGUGGAGAUAAAUGUUUUUUAACUAUUUAAAAUGGAAACUAUGUGUCAUGUAUUCUCUUCCUCUAUAAUCCACUUCACAUUAAAUCUCAGUUUGACCCAGUUUUUCAUUUCCUUUAUAAUAACUAUCUUCCCUCCCAGUUCUCUGUGAAAUAACUUAGCAUAUCUUUCUGCUGCAAAGAUGAACUAUGAAGUUAAGUUUUUUUGUAUGUUUGAGGGUUCUACACCAGGUACUAGCAGUCUAACUCUCUCAUAUGCUGGUCUCCUUGGCAUGUCUUGCUUCAACAAAUUCUUAAACCAAGCACCCUGUCCCCUCAUCUUAGGGAUAUCCUUAAAAGUCCAUGUGGAGACUGAAUCAUCUCUUUUUUUCCCUUACUUUGUGAAUGAGAAGUAAGAUUCCCAAGGGGCAAAAUGUGGGAAUACUUGUCCCAAUCUCGGUGGGUAAUUGUGUGUGUUUACAGGGACUGCUUCAUUUGCAGUGAUGCAGUUUCUGAUUUUUUUAAUCAAAAGGGCAAUGUCGUAUUUUCCAAUGUCCUAAUACGUAUAUCCAGUUUAGAAUGCUCCCUUUAUAAAAUGCAACCCAUAUUCACUAAAA